rnacentral:rRNA from 1 species
AACUUCGGGAAAAGGAUUGGCUCUGAGAGCUGGGUGCAUUGCGCUUAGUUUCAAUGAUUUGGACGGAGCUUAGAGCUACUUUGGAUACCCGCUUUUGUGGGAGUCUAGGGCGGAUCUUGGAACUGUCUAAUCAGCGAGACUAAGUUAAGUCAUAAGUAACUUCUGUUAUUUGUGAUGUGCAUGUACAGUGAACAGCUGACUCAGAACUGGAGCGGACAAGGGGAAUCCGACUGUUUAAUUAAAACAAAGCAUUGCGAUGGCCAGAACUGGUGAUGACGCAAUGUGAUUUCUGCCCAGUGCUCUGAAUGUCAAUGUGAUGAAAUUCAAUCAAGCGCGGGUAAACGGCGGGAGUA